GAUGAACGCUGGCGGCGUGCUUAACACAUGCAAGUCGAACGGAAAGGCCCAAGCUUGCUUGGGGACUCGAGUGGCGAACGGGUGAGUAACACGUGGGUGAUCUGCCCUGCACUUCGGGAUAAGCCUGGGAAACUGGGUCUAAUACCGGAUAGGACCACAUUUUGGAUGGUGUGGUGGAAAGUUUUUCGGUGUGGGAUGAGCUCGCGGCCUAUCAGCUUGUUGGUGGGGUAAUGGCCUACCAAGGCGUCGACGGGUAGCCGGCCUGAGAGGGUGUACGGCCACAUUGGGGCUGAGAUCCGGCCCCGACUCCUACGGGUGGCAGCAGUGGGGAAUAUUGCACAAUGGGCGCCAGCCUGAUGCAGCGACGCCGCGUGGGGGAUGACGGCCUUCGGGUUGUAAACUCCUUUCGCUAGGGACGAAGCGUUAUGUGACGGUACCUGGAGAAGAAGCACCGGCUAACUACGUG
rnacentral:rRNA from 1 species